CGAGGGUGCAAGCGUUAAUCGAAAUUACUGGGCGUAAAGCGUACGUAGGCGGAAAUUCAAGUCGGGUGUGAAAGCCCCGGGCUCAACCUGGGAACUGCAUUCGAUACUGUGUUUCUAGAGUAUGGUAGAGGAAAGUGGAAUUUCCGGUGUAGCGGUGAAAUGCGUAGAUAUCGGAAAGAACACCAGUGGCGAAGGCGACUUUCUGGACCAAUACUGACGCUAAGGUACGAAAGCGUGGGGAGCAAACAGGAUUAGAGACCCGAGUAGUCC
rnacentral:rRNA from 1 species